UAAGAGGUUUUUAUAAAAACCAUGUUUAAAUACCUUAAAUUAUUAU
rfam:Physcomitrella patens subsp. patens PHYPAscaffold_252 genomic scaffold, whole genome shotgun sequence.